rnacentral:rRNA from 1 species
GACGAACGCUGGCGGCGUGCUUAACACAUGCAAGUCGAACGGUAAGGCCCUUCGGGGUACACGAGUGGCGAACGGGUGAGUAACACGUGGGUGAUCUGCCCUGCACUUCGGGAUAAGCUUGGGAAACUGGGUCUAAUACCGGAUAGGACCACGGUCUGCAUGGAUUGUGGUGGAAAGCUUUUGCGGUGUGGGAUGGGCCCGCGGCCUAUCAGCUUGUUGGUGGGGUGAUGGCCUACCAAGGCGACGACGGGUAGCCGGCCUGAGAGGGUGUCCGGCCACACUGGGACUGAGACACGGCCCAGACUCCUACGGGAGGCAGCAGUGGGGAAUAUUGCGCAAUGGGCGAAAGCCUGACGCAGCGACGCCGCGUGAGGGACGAAGGUCUUCGGAUUGUAAACCUCUUUCAGCAGGGACGAAGCGAAAGUGACUGUACCUGCAGAAGAAGCACCGGCUAACUACGUGCCAGCAGCCGCGGUAAGGAGCUGUCGU